AAUGCGACCCCAGGUCAGGCG
rnacentral:rRNA from 1 species